rnacentral:rRNA from 1 species
AACGAACGCUGGCGGCAUGCCUAACACAUGCAAGUCGAACGAGACCUUCGGGUCUAGUGGCGCACGGGUGCGUAACGCGUGGGAAUCUACCCUCAGGUUCGGAAUAACUCAGAGAAAUUUGAGCUAAUACCGGAUGAUGACGUAAGUCCAAAGAUUUAUCGCCUGAGGAUGAGCCCGCGUAGGAUUAGGUAGUUGGUGAGGUAAAGGCUCACCAAGCCGACGAUCUUUAGCUGGUCUGAGAGGAUGAUCAGCCACACUGGGACUGAGACACGGCCCAGACUCCUACGGGAGGCAGCAGUGGGGAAUAUUGGACAAUGGGCGAAAGCCUGAUCCAGCAAUGCCGCGUGAGUGAUGAAGGCCUUAGGGUUGUAAAGCUCUUUUACCCGGGAUGAUAAUGACAGUACCGGGAGAAUAAGCGCCGGCUAACUCCGUG